UGAAUAAGAGAGCUAGGAAAGAAAGAGAGUUAGAGACAAAGAUUUGUUGCCGUAAAACUCGUUUGGUGAAUCAGUCACAGGUGGACAGCGGGUCGUGAAGUGGAAGUCAGUGCAGCGAUACGCUCGAGACGAGAGAGCGUAGGGCCAGAGAUGGCGACGGAAGAGGAGGAGGAGGAGGGUUUGGGAUCGGGGCUCGGGAUCGGAGCGGGGGGAGGCGGAGCCGGCGGCGAAGCAGCGGUACCGGCGGCGGCGGCGCCUCCUCAAGCACUUCCCAGCGCAGAAGGGGUUGCCGCAGCGGCAGUAGUGGGAGCUGGCGGGGUUCCGGGAGUUGCGGUACUUGGAGCUUUACCUGGAAUCCAUGUUCCGUAAAGAACUACUGACCCUUUGUUUAGGUUUACACUUCACGUAAGAACACCUUUCGUCAAGAGGGGCGCGGAAGAGUCGACCACCCCUACACUUCUCUGAACGAUAACUAACGUGAUACGGUCUCUAUUAUCUCCAGAAGUGUCGACUCAUGAGAAACUAAACGUUCUAUGUACUCAUACGUUUUGGAAUAUAUACGAACUACCUACCACACUGGUACCCCAAACCUUAACCUAACAGACCUGUACCGGCGAUGGCGCAAUAAUGGCUCUCUUGUGAGGACCGGUACGGUCUUUUACCAUAACCGAACAAGGGUCUACAACCGAAACGAAUGUAGCCACGUUUUCGCGGUCCUCCCCCGCGUCAGCCUCGAAUGGAACCCUACUGUCCUUUUUCUUAUAGAAGUGGACGACUACGAGACAAGUAUCCAGAGCCUUGGGUAAUACAUGGAAGGCCCCUGAACCCAAGUGAGUUCCUUAGGGAGGACUCACGAUUGAAGUGACGACUAGGAGUGUUUCUACAACUCAGUGAGGACUGACCCAUGUUCUUCCUUGGACUCAGCCACGGAGUUAAUCUUUUCGAAAAUGGCCUAUAACAAAGAAGAAAACCAGGACUAUUUAGUCGAUGACUUAGUCACCUUCUCGAUUUCUUCGCUUCAGUUUCACCACUGCGGUGACACAGUCUUACCCGUUUACUACGAAAUCGUCCUGAAGUCUUUCCACGAGGCAAAAGAGAAACAAAUUGUGUCUUUGUAAAGAGAGCUCAACGUAGCAGCAUACCCUUGUUACUUUUAAUAGAUAGAUUCAACCGACCACAAUACUUUAACCUCAUGGCGUAACGGAACUCUAGCAGCCAAGCUUCACUAAAACGACUUCCACAUGCUCGACAGAAUCAACUGUUCCUGGUCUUAGGUUUUACCUUAGGUCGUUGAGACCUUCUGCAUUUGUACCUACUCCAGCUUAGUCACAAACUUGGUAAUCGACGGUUGCGACUCAACUUACACACUAAAAGACAUCGUCGGGUCUUACGAUGCUGGUGGACUUGUGGGAAACAGGAAGGCUACUAGACAAAUAAACAACCUCGACUUCGCGUAUCUAAGUCCAAGUCCCAAAAUGAAGACGUCACGGUGACCCAUCACGCAGUAUGGUAUACCGCACGAACUCUUUUGUGACUUAGGGUGGCCUUCUUGUAACCCUAACUUCUUUGUACCAGGCCGGCCGUCUAAGAUUGUCUGCA
rnacentral:rRNA from 1 species